GCAGAUAUUAUUCAGCAGUGUCCAGAUAUGACGUUGGUACUGGCCACUACUGGAGACAAGAUAGUCAUUGGGUCUGACUCAGUCGGGAAAUUCCUAGAUUUCUGCAAAAGUACCCGAAACUACUUUUCACUUGCUUUUUGGAGCCCCUUUGUGGAGGACCAGAAUAAGGCCUAUGUAACAUUUAUGUUCAACUUGGAUCCUCACAAUAUGGCAUCAGUGGGAUUUAUAUGGUGCAUAUAGCUGUGCCGGCCCUCAGAUUUCACCCAGAUUGUCUACAGCCUUGUCCCCAGAACACCAUCCAGGAAGAUCUGAAGACUGGACAUAAAUGGAGAUGGAAACUUCACGUCACCGGAUGAAACCACCCAUUGCCUACGUUGAGAAUAUGUAGCAGUUAGAACACAACUAAAUCCCCCUGAUCUGGCCACCUCUGAAUUUUGGGAGAGUUUGGAUCAAGAACAGAACUGUAUAGGUGACCCCAAGCUUUAUAAUGGUCUGAGUCAAAAGCCUGGCUCCCAAGCCUUCCUCCUUUGGGGAAGUUCAGGUCCACUUCUGAAAUCGAUGACUCCAGCUCAGCCCUCUGAUUUUCAGUUAUCAGAGGGUGAGAUUAUUAAAAGCACUCAUCUCUGCGCCUAUUCAAAUCAAUAAUAAAGCAACAGGAACAGAGUUAGACCAAUGCUGAGCACUUUUGAAAAUCUCACCUAUAUUUAUCGGUGAUGGACAAAUCUUCCAACACCUGUAGACUCAGCCAAGAAAGCAUAAAAAGAUUCAGAGAAUUUAGUUUCUUUGGUUUCUGAAAAUGGACCAGAAACCCAGAAAGAUCAGACUUCCACAUGAGGUUUCUGCUGCUUCCCAUUUCUGGUCAAGUUAGGAACGUAGCAUACACACAGACAACCACAGGAUUGCCACAUAUAAGGACAUGGGGAGGGAUAGUCAAAAGUGUUUAUGUGAAAUAGGCUCUUUCAAUGGUCCAAGAUUGUUCUAUCAUUUGAGGGAAUCUCAGAGAAGGUACAUUCAGAACUUGUGGAUUGGUCUACCACCCUUACUAAAUGAAUUUUGCAUAGUGUGCCCUGAGUCUAAGACCAAGCGAGGCAGAUUUAAUACAGGAGAACAACAACCUUCUGAAAAGCGGCCUUCAUUGAGAAUUUGGUCUUCUGCAACACGUGACGUCUAGGCCCGUGGAAUGAUGUGUCCUCCAAAGGCUGUCACCAUUGACCUUGCUGAAAUGGCAUGAUGUAGUGCAAAGGACUGGAAUGGGCUUUUAUUAUUCUAUAAACAUGGCCAAAAACAAGGAGAAGAGAGGAGGUUGGGGGAAGAUGAAAUAGUAAAGUGGUUUGGACUCUGCAAUAAAGUGUGGAGUCUGGUGCCUGGCCCAGGGCUUUGUUUUAAUGAAAGCCAUUUGACACACAUCUAGCUGAGCGGCAAAAGUGCGCCCUCUGAAUGAUCCGACUUUCUGGCUGUAAUUUAUGCUUAUUUCUUGGAUGUGGCAUGGUAAGGGCCAGAUUGUGCUGUCAUGCAAAGCCAGGGGCUGAUUGGUCAAGUUCCACUCUAUUUCUUCCAUUUGCUGAAAGAAUAGAGACAUAUCAUCCUAUGCAGGCAGAGCCGGCACCAGCCCAGAAAGCAGGUGCUUGGAGUGGCCAACAGAGAGGGGCAGCAUGUCCGGGUCUUCGGGGGCAGUUCCCUCACUCCCUCUUGGAGCGAAGGACCAGCUGCUGAAUUGCCGCCAAAGACUGAAGUGGCGGCGGUACUGCUGGCGAUCGCGGCUUUUUUUCUUUUUCUUUUUCUUUUUGCUGCUU